UACAGAGGGUGCAAGCGUUGUUCGGAAUUAUUGGGCGUAAAGGGCGCGUAGGCGGCCAUGCGUGUCUUCCGUGAAAUCCCUCGGCUUAACUGAGGACGUGCGGAAGAAACUGCAAGGCUCGAGUCCGGGAGAGGGGGGGUGGAAUUCCCAGUGUAGCGGUGAAAUGCGUAGAUAUUGGGAGGAACACCGGUGGCGAAGGCGGCCCCCUGGACCGGUACUGACGCUGAGGCGCGAAAGCGUGGGUAGCAAACGGG
rnacentral:rRNA from 1 species